UCUGCAUUGCUGGUCAGAGUGGCAGCCAGGGCACGCUUGCUGUUCUGUGGAUGCUGGUGGCCAUUUGAUCCAAAGGGGCAGCUCCAGUUUGAAGUAAGACCUGAAGGAUUUGUCCUCCCUGGGCCUGGCCUACUCUUGCAGCGGUGUGACAAUGCAAUCCAGGCUGAAACUUCACAGCACUUGGUGGAAGGCGCACAGCAGGGACUCACAGCAGCAUCGGCUUCCCUGCCUCUGCUUUUCCCAGUUGCUUUCUCCACAGAUCCAAGAAGGAUUUCUUGCCUUUGCAGGAGGAUCACCACAUGUUCCCAUUCUUUCAUGUUAGAGGCAACCUCCUUCUAAGUGAAUAUUUAUAGUGCACCCCACAUGGCACCAGCUGGGAGGCAUUACUCUGGAUCUACGUGCUUUCACCCAGCCCAAAGAGCUAUUUGUGACUUUGGGUGCCCCUUAUGCCAUUCAUUAACUUCAAAUUUAAUAACCCUCAAAUAGUUCCUACUUCCUCUUUACUCGUGUUUUACUGGAAAAGCAGUCGCUUCUCAGAUUCCACUAACUCUCAUCAAAGUAGCUAACACGAUAUACGUAAACACAUGUAUAACAUAAAUAUAUUACCAUAUUAUUGCAGUUGUGCAUUUGUGCAAUUUAGUAUGUAUAAUACACGCACACAUGCAUACUAGAUAAUGCAAUGUAUCCAACAUGAAUGCGCAAACCACCUGGCUUCCAACCAGAAAAUCUUGUGAUGAACAGCAACUAGUCAGUGAGCUAGCAACAGUGGUGUAUUACUGCCUAACCAAGCAAAAUGCACCUGGGUCCAUUCCUCCUGCCCACAGGUGAGGCUGGGUCCAUGGUUGCUGUGAAACCCACACAAUUUCACCAGUAUAAAUAGUGGUCUACCAAGCAAAGCCAGCUGGGAAUCCACCCAAUGUGUUUGUGCCAGAUGUGAGCACAGGACUGGAGACAGGAGCUAAGCACCCUGCAAGCAACACCUGGUGCCACACCACUGAGAUGAAUUUUCCAUUUUUCUGAGUGCUUCAAUAUAUUGACCUUGACAUCCCCUUCUCUGCUGGGCCCCAGUGCUGGUUACUUGGGAGCUCAUGUGCUCCUGGGGCUUGGUGCAGCAGAUGGAAACGGCUGCCCACACUGCGCUGCCCCUCUGCCAGCUGCCACCGAGCUGCCAGGCCCUCCUCUCUCAUAGGCACCCAUCCUGUGGUGGGCCCUGCAUGAAGGGUGCAUGAAAUAUCAUGAUACAGUUGCCAUGUUUUGGUCCUUCGCAGAUUCCCUUCUUGAAGGCACUAAUCUCAACAGGCUCUAGUCUAGAAUUAGUCCUCUCUCUCUCUUAAUAACGCCAGGUACUGUGUACUGUAUAUUGCAAAUACUGCUUACUGUUUUCUGCUACAUCCAAAGAAAAUUAAACAGCACACAAACCUUU